UCCAUCUAAAACCAGGUGCGGUCGCGGCCUCCGGGUGAAAGCCUGGGUGGUUUCGCGCCGCAUUCCUGCACCCUUUUUUUACGAGCACCUUUGUUCUCCUUCGGCGGGGCAACCUGCCGCUGGAACUUAAUAAAACCUUUUUUGCAUCUAGCAUUACCUGUUCUGAUACAAAUAAUCGUUA
rnacentral:misc_RNA from 1 species